AGUUAGUGUUCGAAAUGAUCUAUUGUUGGAUAAAAGAAUUAAAUAUCCAAAAAUAUAAGUCGCAAAAAUCUCAUAGAUUUUUACAUACCUCUUUUGUUGCGGAAUGUAUUACGAUUACCAGGAUCGAAUCUUGUCUUGUUUUACGAACUCGAUGAUCCGCCAAUGACUUCAAUUUGUUGCACAUUGUUCUUACUCGUUGCAAUCCGGCUACUAAAGUCGAUCGCCGCACACCGCCCAAAUCCCUAGGGUUUAUGAUGGUGCCCUAGAGUGAACCCAAGAGAAAAUUUUGUGGAGAGAUUAUUCUUUUUUUUUUGUGUGUUCUUUCGUGUGUCAUAUGUAGUCAAUAUCUCGUGUAUUUAUAGGCCAUAACGGAGACAUUAAUCCUAAUUAAUCAUAUUCUAACCAAAUCUUACAUAGAUAGAGAUUUAAAUAGAUUAGGAUUUAUCUGUUAGAUUUAUUUCUUAUCUCAUGUGGACUAGAAAUAUAACAAAUAAUUACAAAUAUUUAUUUCUUAUCCCAUAUGGAUUAGAAAUAUUUUAGAUAAGUCCCAAUAUGGACGAAUCCUAACAUCUCCCACUCGUACACACUUGGUACUUAUUCAUACUUUCUCAUCCCAAAUAUAUUCUCAUCUCGUUCUGCUCUUCAUACGAGAAAUGGUUGGUGCGAUCAAUAACGAGAUGAAUCAUAAGUGAGGAGUGUUAUAUUAAGUCACCAUCUGAACUAACAUAACACUACAACUCCAAAACUCGUCUAUACCCCAAAUCACUGAACUACACUAGAUCAUAGCAUCUCUGAUCCCAUAGAGCAAGCUAGAUCUCUUUCAUCAAUGCAUUUGUUCUCAUGAUUAUAUUGACAACAACUAUCAACAUAAUCGCCUGGGCUAUGAGUCACAAAUCAUAGGUGUAUUAUCAAAUAAUUUUUUCUUAGAUGCCUCAUGCCAAUCCAUUUCAACUUGACUGCUUUUCUAGACAUGUUCCGCUGGACCGAAUCAAUCAUGGCCCUUGGAUAUCAUGCUAAAGUAGCAUCAUCAAGUAUCCACUUCAUAACAUGGUUCUAAGUCCCAAAGAAUACGCAAAGCUCACACAGUGACGAAACAGGAAUCAAUUUCGUUACUCUCUAAAACAUAGUGAUCGAUCUUGCACAUACGGUAUGAACGUAUGCUAUGGUGGAGCUACCUCUAAGGACAUGUCACGCUCAAAACACCAUACGAAUGUCGGUUUUGUUGUAACUCAAGACAACAAACCUCAAGACAGCUACAUUCGGCUUCAUACAGGCCGAGUUGUGGACCAUCUCUACUGUCGACUUCGUACAGUCUCAUCUUAGCUCAUCUUAGGCGACAUUCAAGUUUUAAACACUUUUCAACUCUUAUAGCGCAAAGUGGAUCACCUGCAUUACUAACUGCAUUUAUGUGAUCUUAUUUGUCUCAUCCUGCUCGCUCUCCUAGCGACAGGGCGAUUACCCGUGUGAGAGGGCUAAUCAAAGGCCUGGUGAUAUUCAUUCUCACAAGGAUAUUGUGCACUAAUUUAAAAUUUAAUAAAGAUGUAUAUGAAUGAAAAAAGAUGUCAAAAAUAUUUAUUCGCAAAAUUAUUAAUACAAGAUAAGAGUCAACUCAUGCCAAUGUGCUGCUCUAGGAUUACUCUAAUAACGACUAACCAUAUCAUCAGCGAAAUAUAUGUCCGGCCGAGUACACAUUAUUGCAUACAUCAAGCUGCCGACUGCACUCGCAUACCAUUUGAUAGAAUCAGACGCAAUAUCAGAAGAAACUAAUAAAACAGAAUUAUUGUUAUUAUUAAUAAAAUCCAAGUCCAAAUUUAAGACAAAGAAAUUAUUUUUUAAACAACCAUUACCAUAAAAGUCCUUACCCAAAUAAAUAGCUAACUGAGUAUCCGUAAAUUGAAAAAAAAAAAAAACCUAAUCUAAGUAACGCUAAAACUGACAGUAGAUUACAUCGGAUGUUCGGUGCAUACAGCACAUCAUGUAAUAUCAAAUAACGACCAUUGCGCAAUCUAAGUUGGUAUGCGCCUAUACCAAGGACUUCUUCCUCAGUGCUGUUUCCUAUCAUGACAUAAUGGCUGCCAGCAGACACCCGACGAUAAUCCACACAUCCUGCUCGAUCUCUCGUUACAUGCUUUGUUGCUCCUGUGUCUACAAUCCAAUCAGAAAGAGCGUGAGCAAUAAAAACAUGCGAACAUACAAAAUUAAGAGAGUCAGGAUUGGGAUUUACCUUCUUCGACUCAGUGCAAUCACGAGCGAAGUGUCCCAUAUUUCCACAGUUAUAGCAUUUCACUUUAUUUAAGUUUUUCUUUCCACGCCUGCCUUUGCGGCGCUUCUCAAUUCUGCCCUCAUUUGGCGCGCGGUUCCCUGUCUCUGCAUAUUUUUUUUUUUUCAUUUCGGCGCUUGUGCUUAGGCCACUUGUCUCUGCGCUGUCCACCGUGGGCAACGAGUGCAUUAGCACGAUUCGCCUCUCUGCGCUCCGCUUCCAACUCAAGAUGUCGAGCUAUAUCGUUGAAGGUCUUAAUACCCUCAUUAUAAGUUAGCACAACCUUAAUUUGAUCCCAAGAAGAAUCUGGUAAGGACCUCAUAACUGACUGAACCUGUUGUUCGUCAGUGAGCUCGCAACCGGCUGCUUUAAGUUCUCUUAUCAUAGCAGACAUCACCUUUAAGUGCUUUGCCAUAGAAUGCUUCGGGUCCAUCAUAUAUUGAUUGAAUUUGAGAUUCAAUGUACGAAGUCUUAUGGUCGACGUGCCCCCAUAUUUAACUUUGAGCUGCUCCCACAUAUUUUUAGCAGUCUCAUAAUUCUCAAAUUCUUUGAUCAAAUCAUCGUGCAUACAGCUCAACUUUGUAUAGCGUGCACUACGAUCUUUCUCAAGCCACUCGUUAUAGGCUUGUAAAUCGCGACGGUGCUGAGCCGUCGUGCCUUCUUCAGGCCGAACCAUACUAUUGGUUAAAUGGCUAAGUAUCCCUUUCUCAUUUAGGAGAUAUUGAAUUUUUCUAUACCACAUGUCAUAAUUCGUUCCAUCAAGCCGAUCUUGAUUUAAUAAAUCCGCGAUGGAAAAAUUUUUAGAAGCCAUAUAUCACUACAAUAAUGCACAUAAUUUUAAAUUAGACACAAAUAUCCACAAUAUUAUUCUCAAUCCAAUUUGAUAAUAAAAUUUCUCACUGCAUCUUCAAAUCGAAAAUUUUGCCUUUGAAAAAAACUAAUAAUCAUCUAAUCCAAUGCAGAUAAAAAUAAUAUAUCAAAUUAAUCAAGAAUAAAUCCACAUCACAAAUAAAAUAUAGUAUGCGAUUUGUGAAGGAGUUAUAACUUAUUUAACAUAGCAAGAAACAAUAUAUAUAAUAAAUUAAAUCCAUAAUUUUUUGUAAGUAAAUAUUGAAUUAUAUACUUAAAAAGUGCUUUCUUAAAACACUCUCACUGUUCAGGUUAUGGGUUCGAAUCCUGCAACCAGCAACAUCCUCUCCUUUUAUUUUUUAUUUUUUGAUUAAACAGAUUUAAAAAAAAAAAACAAGCCCAUGAAUUCAGGUUGAGGCCUAUAAUCAGCCCACAGCGUAGGCAUUCUGGGCCUGCCUACUCUCUUGGGCCCAGUAACUCCUGCAGGUCCAUCAUGCAUGCGGGCCGCAGCAGGCCCAACAUGCGGGCUGGGCCUGUGCGCGGGUCAAGGCUUUAGCGUGCCGGAAUCUGUGCUGGACCCCGGUUCGGCUCAAAGUCCGUAGGUAGGCCGGCAUGCGGGGUGAGCCCUUGCCUAGGCCCAUGCUGUCCAUGCAGGCCUACAAACGAGAUGGGCUCGAACUAGGCUAUGCUGGUGGGAAGGCCGCAUCAAACAAAAGUCAGGCUGCUGUAGGCCGAGUGCAGGCUUGAUCUGCAUGUGGCCCAACACGCCUGAAGUCCACAGGCACAAUUUGUGGAGUGGUCUUUUAUAUGGCAAAGCCCCAACUACCCAACGCACGGUCAAGCCGCCAAAGGCUUCGCGCGCAAGCAGCGCGCGGUCAACCCGCCAAAAGCCGUCCGCGAGUAGCUCGACAGAUUCGGAGAAUAUUUUCCAAUUGCGAUUCGAAACCUCACCGAAUAUUAUUUUUAUAUUUUUAACAAAUUAAAAAUAUAUUCGAGUUUAAAAACGAAUCAUCGAGCGAAAACAAGCACCGUAAGGCUCUGAUACCACUGUUGGAUAAAAGAAUUAAAUAUCCAAAAAUAUAAGUCGCAAAAAUCUCAUAGAUUUUUACAUACCUCUUUUGUUGCGGAAUGUAUUACGAUUACCAGGAUCGAAUCUCGUCUUGUUUUACGAACUCGAUGAUCCGCCAAUGACUUUAAUUUGUUGCACGUUGUUCUUACUCGUUGCAAUCCGACUACUAGAGUCGAUCGUCGCACACCGCCCAAAUUCCUAGGGUUUAUGAUGGUGCCCUAUAGCGAACCCAAGAGAGAGAAUUUUGUGGAGGCAUUAAUAGGUCAUAAGGAAGACAUUAAUCCUAAUCAUAUUCUAACUAAAUCUCACAUAGAUAGAGAUUUAAAUAGAUUAAAAUUUAUCUGUUAGAUUUAUUUCUUAUCCCAUAUAGACUAGAAAUAUAAUAGAUAAUUACAAAUAUUUAUUUCUUAUCUCAUAUAGAUUAGAAAUAUUUUAGAUAAGUCCCAAUGUGGACGAAUCCUAACAUCUAUAAUUUAUACGAAGUGGUUUAGAGACAUGUUCUCUCUAUGAUCACUACAGGAAUAUUAUAUAUUGGUGGCGAGUAAUGUUACCACCAUAUGUAUAAAAUGUUGUCAUCUUUAUAGAGUACCUUACUAAAAAUAGCGUGGCGACAUUUUGUCGCCACCAAAUAUGACUUUUAGUGGCCAUUAUUAGUCGUCGCCUUAUUAAAAAUAGCGUAACGAUAUUUUGUCGCCGCCAAAUAUGACUUUUAGUAGCCCUUAUUAGUCGCCACCUUUUAUGAAGAUAAGAUGGCAAUACAUUUUCACUACCAAAUAUAUACUUUAAGUGGCAACAACCGCAGUCGCCACCUUAGUUAAAUAUAAAUAUGCGACUUUUUGUCCUCACCACUUGUGCGAAUAAAAUGGCCACCGAUAAUAAAUAGGUAAUAAAAUAAAAUAUAAAAAUAUACAGCUUGUAUUUUAUAAUCAGAACAUACACAAAAUAACAAAUAAAAUAUUUAAGUAAACAAAAUUAUCUUUUUAACAACAAUUUAAAAGCCUAAUUAACUUCUCAUCCACAACAGCUUUUAAAAGCAAAAUAAUAAUAGCAAUAUUAAUUUAGAGGCAGAAAACUAAUAAUAUCCGUUAUACAGUUUAACAUCAUUCCUAACUUCCUAAACUUUAAAAAUAAAAAAUGCUUAAAAAUGAUGAAAAAAUGCUUCAGCUCCUAAUCCAAUGGCCAUUCAUUUCCUACAAACAAAUAAAAAGAAGAAAAAUAAAUUACAUAAAUUAAAAAUCUACAACAAAAAUUGAAGUACUUUUUACUAUAGUUGAAUGCUGAAACAAUGAUGAUCGAACUGAAGAACACAUAGGUGACAAUCAUGA
rnacentral:lncRNA from 1 species